UCUUCACAGAAAGAGUGGCUGGACAUUGGAAUGGGCUUUCCAGGGAGGUGGUGGAGUCACCAGCUCUGGAGCUUUUUAAAAAAAGAGUGGACGUGGCACUCAAUGCCACGGUCUGGUUGACAUGCUGGUGUUUGGUUAUAGAUCAGACUCAAAGGUCUUUUCCAACCUAGUUAAUUCUGAGAUUCUGUGACUGGUUUUUUCACCAUUCUUCCACAGCUGCACAUAAUCAGCUGCUGAUUCCCACCUUCUCCUACAUGAACCACCUGGGAACCCAGCACACCUGGGGCCUUUCUCCCCAUCACCCAUUCCAGCAGCCCUGCCCUCACAAUAUGACAGCUGCUCUUAUAAAACCCCAUUUCCCUCUUUGUUUCUUUUUACUGGUGCAGCCACAGAACUCUAACAGACGUUGCCAAAUCUUGUGUAACUCAUGACACUCCCAGCCUCCUACACACACCUUCCAAAAUAUCCAGAGACUGCAGUAACACAUGCAAUGAAGAAACCAAACUUCCUUUUUUACAUGCUAUUUCAGAACAAUGGACUGGAUGCACUUCUGGGACAAACCAAAACUUGUCCCCAAAACAACAAAGCCAGGGCUACAAAUGAAACAAAAUGAGACCUGGACUGCCACUCAGAAAGGUGCUGGUUUGAGAAUGGACCAGCCUUUACUUUUAAAGCUCGGAAAGAAGGGAAUUUGGCAACACUAAUGCCAAAAGACAGUUCACAGAUCUGUUCUGAAAAGCACUUCUUCAUACUACCUCCUUCUUCUGGAUCGCUCAGCUCCUAGGGGGGUGGGAGGCCCACAGUCAAAAUAUCCCUACUCAAAAAACAUCUGGAGCAUGAAGAUAAGCAGAGACAUGCUUACAUGCCACUGCUGACUGGAAACCACUGCUCAAUUUAGCAAAGCAAUUAAGGACAUGAUUAUUCAGAAGUGAACUUAUAUCCGAACCAUCUGAACCCUCCUUAUGCUCAUCGUUAAAUAGAUCCUUAAGAAGUUACGUGAAAGAAGUCAUAUGGAAGUGUUUUUUUAAAAAAUUAUUUACAAGCAAAUGUGUAGGGCUAGCUGUCAAAACAGCUAGGAAAAAGGAAACAAAGAUGUCACAUGCAAGUAAAUCUAAAGAGUCACAGUUUUUGCAUUGGGAACAUAAGAAAAAUCAAAUCAUGAGCCAGGAUGAUGAAUUUUCACAUGAAUACCGAGAUCAUCUUUUGACAAAACUGUCAUCCACAUAAGAUUUUAUUUUCAGUCUACUAAGGAUUUUGAUAUAGCCUCAGUAUUUUGUGCAAUAUGCAAGACCACCACGUGUGUGACAAUUUGAAGCACUAAUGCUUGGAUUGUCUUCAGGUGAGCAUUACCCAAACAGGUCACACUGAAAAUUCCCUGCACCAGGAACAAAUCAGCUGCUUACUGGUAGGAGCAGUAACUAAUAAAAAUCUGUUUUUCUGUUUUGGAUAACA
rnacentral:lncRNA from 1 species